CCCGCCAAUAGGGAACGUGAGCUGGGUUUAGACCGUCGUGAGACAGGUUAGUUUUACCCUACUGAUGAAGUGAUACUGCAACAGUAAUCGAAGUUAGUACGAGAGGAACAUUUCGUUCAGGUACUUGGUAAAUGUUGCUAGCUGAAAAGCUAAUGUUGCAAAGCUACCAUCUGUUGGAUUACGACUGAACGCCUCUAAAUCGGAAUCCAUGCUGGCUAUGCAGUGUUGUUCAUCAUUGCUGUUUGAACUGACAAAUACUA
rnacentral:rRNA from 1 species